rnacentral:rRNA from 1 species
UACAGAGGUCCCAAGCGUUGUUCGGAUUCACUGGGCGUAAAGGGCGCGUAGGCGGCACUGUUAGUCAGGCGUGAAAGUCCUGGGCUCAACCUGGGAACUGCGCUUGAUACGGCAGAGCUAGAGGAUGGAAGAGGCUCGCGGAAUUCCCAGUGUAGAGGUGAAAUUCGUAGAUAUUGGGAAGAACACCGGUGGCGAAGGCGGCGAGCUGGUCCAUUACUGACGCUGAGGCGCGACAGCGUGGGGAGCAAACAGG